rnacentral:rRNA from 1 species
GAUGAACGCUGGCGGCGUGCCUAAUACAUGCAAGUCGAGCGAACGGACGAGAAGCUUGCUCCUCUGAUGUUAGCGGCGGACGGGUGAGUAACACGUGGAUAACCUACCUAUAAGACUGGGAUAACUUCGGGAAACCGGAGCUAAUACCGGAUAAUAUUUUGAACCGCAUGGUUCAAAAGUGAAAGACGGUCUUGCUGUCACUUAUAGAUGGAUCCGCGCUGCAUUAGCUAGUUGGUAAGGUAACGGCUUACCAAGGCAACGAUGCAUAGCCGACCUGAGAGGGGGAUCGGCCACACGGAACCUAAGCAAGGGUCCAGAUUCCAAGGGGGGGCGGCAGUGGGAAUUCUGCCGCAUGGGGCGAAGGCCUAACGGGGCAAGGCCGCGGGAGUAAGGAGGGUCUCCGGAUCGAAAAACCCUGUUAUAGGGAAGAAACAUAUGUGUAAGUAACUGUGCACAUCUGACGGGAACCAAAGAAGAAGGCCACGGUUAAUUCCUG